rnacentral:rRNA from 1 species
UGAACGCUGGCGGCGUGCUAACACAUGCAAGUCGAACGGGACUAUCAAGUGAUGUUUCGGACUGAACUUUUAGUUAGUGGCGGACGGGUGAGUAACGCGUGGACAACCUGCCUCUCACUGGGGGGAUAGCAGCUGGAAACGGCUGGUAAUACCGCAUACGUUCAAUGUGCCGCAUGACACAUUGAAGAAAGAUUUAUCGGUGAGAGAUGGGUCCGCGUCUGAUUAGCCAGUUGGCGGGGUAACGCCCACCAAAGCGACGAUCAGUAGCCGGCCUGAGAGGGCGGACGGCCACAUUGGGACUGAGACACGGCCCAGACUCCUACGGGAGGCAGCAGUGGGGGAUAUUGCACAAUGGGCGCAAGCCUGAUGCAGCGACGCCCGCGUGAGUGAAGAAGUAUUUCGGUAUGUAAAGCUCUAUCAGCAGGGAAGAAAGGCCCGCAGGGGAGAUGACGGUACCUGACUAAGAAGCCCCGGCUAACUACGUGCCAGCCGCAGC